UGCUUGCUUAGGCAGCACAUAUACUACAAUUGAAAUGAUAUAGAGAAGAUUAGCACAGUCCUUGCACAAGGAUGACAAAUUCAUGAAACAUUCUAUAUUUUU
rnacentral:snRNA from 1 species